UACGUAGGGUGCGAGCGUUGUCCGGAAUUAUUGGGCGUAAAGAGCUCGUAGGCGGCCUGUCGCGUCGGAUGUGAAAGCCCGGGGCUCAACCCCGGACUUGCAGUGGGUACGGGCAGACUAGAGUGUGGUAGGGGAGACUGGAAUUCCUGGUGUAGCGGUGGAAUGCGCAGAUAUCAGGAGGAACACCGAUGGCGAAGGCAGGUCUCUGGGCCACUACUGACGCUGAGAAGCGAAAGCAUGGGGAGCGAACAGG
rnacentral:rRNA from 1 species